CUUUAAAGAGUCAAGACACAAACAUGUUCAGAUAAGCGGAGUGUCACUGUAGUAGGUGGCUGUGUAGGCAGCGGGCAGUGCCCUGGGUUCUGUUUGGUGCAGGACAGGCAGGGAUGUGCCAGGAGCCCUCUCAGCCCGCUCCGGUGCCGACGUUCCCUGGGUAUCCGAUCCGGCAUUAGCAUGCUGACAGCUCAGCAUUUAGGACAUUAUGGUAAUUUAUCCUGCAUACGCUGUCACCUGCACUGUCAGAGUUUGUUUUUAAUGAUGGUAUAACUAUUUUGUUUGUUUGUACUGCAUUCUUUUCAUUUGGCUAAUGUCUCCUCAUUAGAUUGCACCUAGUAAAUGAGAGUAAUUAAGUGUUUCCUAUAGCUCAGACGCAAUGAUUAAGUUGCAGAGUUGAUGCUGAUUAUGUUUUGCCAUUUAUCUCUAUUAAUCUGAGAAUAAUCCAGAUGAUAAACACGUGUAAUUUUUUAGCUAAUGUUCAAUAGAUGAAAUUUAUAGCUUCUCAAUGGAGCCAAACAAUGUGUGUAUUUUUAUAUGAAUCCUAAGUUAUUGUACUUAUAUUUAAACAUACAAUUAUCUGUACAACUAAGAAAAAGAAGUGGAAAAUCUACUGAAUGUAGAGAUCCUCACUUUUAAAAAUGCAUUUGUGUAUGGAAAACGACUACUCAUAAUUCACAGUUCAGUGACUGUCUUUAUUCUGCUUUCUCAAAUAUCUACAGAGAUUCCUGUGGUGAUAUUUCCGAGGAUUUUUUCCUGCAGUUAUUAUCUGUAUUUGUUAUUAUUAAUUCUAGAAUACAAAUUGCAUCUCUAGUACUGAAAUGUAAUUUUCAUAUAGAUACUUCCAAAUGACUGUUUAGAAACAGAAAAAAAAAACCAAAAAAACACUAACACAUCAAAUUAAGUACCUCACAGUAAUUUGUAAAUCUUUAAUUUAACUUUCAUGCUGUAGAUAGACAUUGAAAAAUAGCUUGAGUUAUUUCUUCAACACAAAGUAGCAAUAAUUAAUUUUGAUGCAAAUAGUAAUGGCAACACUAGGAAUACCAUGAGUUGUUUGAUGGUAUUCCUUUGUUUUCCUGGCUCUAUGACCUUCCUAGCACAUCACACUGUGAUGUGCUAUU
rnacentral:lncRNA from 1 species